UGCCAGCCGCCGCGGUAAUACGGAGGGGGCAAGCGUUGUUCGGAUUUACUGGGCGUAAAGGGCGCGUAGGCGGCAUGCCAAGUCGGAGGUGAAAUGCCCGGGCUUAACCUGGGAACUGCCUUCAAAACUGGCAAGCUCGAGACCGGGAGAGGUAAGCGGAAUUUCCAGUGUAGAGGUGAAAUUCGUAGAUAUUGGAAAGAACACCAGUGGCGAAGGCGGCCUACUGGACCGGAUCUGACGCUGAGGCGCCAAAGCGUGGGGAGCAAACAGGAUUAGAUA
rnacentral:rRNA from 1 species